UGUAGAGAGAGUGACAGGUUGU
rnacentral:miRNA from 2 species